rnacentral:tRNA from 1 species
GAAGCUGUGCCUGAACGCCUAAGGACCACUUUGAUAGAGUGAAUAACGAGGGUUAAAAUCCCUCCGGCUUCU